GCCUCCGUAGUGUAACGGUAAACACGUCUGACUCGGUUUCCGGAAGACGUGGUCGUGAGUUCGAAUCUCAUCGGUGGAG